rnacentral:rRNA from 1 species
GGCGAACGGGUGAGUAACACGUGGGUAAUCUGCCCUGCACUCUGGGAUAAGCCUGGGAAGCUGGGUCUAAUACUGGAUAUGACCUUUCUCCUUAUGGGGUUUGGUGGAAAGUUUUUCGGUGUAGGAUGAGCCCGCGGCCUAUCAGCUUGUUGGUGGGGUGAUGGCCUACCAAGGCGACGACGGGUAGCCGGCCUGAGAGGGUGAUCGGCCACAUUGGGACUGAGAUACGGCCCAG